GAAAAGAUUGUAUCAGAAUAUAAGGUGCAAGCUCUCGGAUUACCUCAUUUUUGGCAUGAUUUUGCUAAUUAUGGGUUGCACCUCCUCCACAUUGCUACCGUACUUCACAUUUGUCUCUUUUCUCUAAAAUAGUGAGCUUGUUUCAAUUAAUUUGUAUAUUCUCUUGUUGCCUUGUCAAGAAAAUUAGUCGAAGCAAAUAUCAUGAUUCCUCUAUUUUUUUUGAUUACUAAAUAAUUUUGAAUGUAGUUUCGUUCAGAUGUUUCCAGGUUUUAUUUUUUGGAGUCUGAAUAUACUCAGUCUGAAUGUUGAUUUAUUAAUAAUGUGCAACAAUGAAAAUGUGACACUAAACUCUCUAAAUUUUGUUACUGAAUCUGGCGUUGUCAAGUUAUCAGUGGAACAUAUUAUAGAUAUGUUUGCGCAGUCUGGAUCUACUUACGUAUGAUUUGGGACCUUGUUCUGGAGAUCAUGUAUUGUUUGAUGUGUGCUAAUAUAUUUUUAAUAUUAGUUCAAGUAAUAUUUGAAACGCAUGUAGUACCAAUUCAAAUAUCGGUAAUAAUGUAUGAAAUAUGUAUUUAGUUCUGUGAACUUGUGGCAUACGACCAAAAGAGAUGACUAGUUCUAGAUAUUACGCAUGCUUGUGGAUUUUGUGAUCCUACUUUUUCUCUUUCUCUCUUUUUUCUUUCUGGAAGUGGUCCAUUGAGUUAAAAUUCAUUUCAAGGGAUUGUGAUUCACGUUACUGCUUUACCUUGUGACUACUCCUUCACAUUUAAGUAAUAUAUAUGAAUUGUUUAUAUCUUCAUUUCUAUUGUCCCUUCUCCCUUCCUCUAUAUUCUAGAAAAGAACAUAUAUUAUGGAUGAUGACUAAUUCAUGGGUCCGGGGAGCUGGCCUUUAGAGUCAUUUUGUUCUAGAAAAGGAAAUAAUUUAACUGAGUAUGUAAAUCUGGCUAACAUGAUCAAGAGGGCUGGAACUACUGUAGUUGGAAAAACUAAUAAGAAGCGGAUUUUUAUGGAAAUUGAGGUCAAGUAUCGACUUAAACAUGCUCGACUUUUGGAUUGAUGAUUUCAUAAAGAUUUAUUGCAAAUUUACUGGAGAUUUUAAUUCCAUUUCAGUUAGGAGUUUAUUAGCUGAUUUUAUGUUGAGAUU